GGAAGUAAAAGUCGUAACAAGGUUUCCGUAGGUGAACCUGCGGAAGGAUCAUUACCGAGUGAGGGCCCUCUGGGUCCAACCUCCCACCCGUGUCUAUCGUACCUUGUUGCUUCGAUGCUCGCUGUAGAAUGAUUGCCGCCGGGGAGGCCUUGCGCCCCCGGGCCCGCGCCCGCCGAAGACCCCAACAUGAACGCUGUUCUGAAAGUAUGCAGUCUGAGUUGAUUAUCGUAAUCAGUUAAAACUUUCAACAACGGAUCUCUUGGUUCCGGCAUCGAUGAAGAACGCAGCGAAAAUGCUCGUAGUAGUGCUCGCUGUAAGUAGUCGCUGUCAUCGAGUCUUUGAACGCACAUUGCGCCCCCUGGUAUUCCGGGGGGCAUGCCAUGCUCGUGAUGCUCGUAGUAGGUAAGCACGGCUUGUGUGAUGCUCGUGAUAGGCUCGUAGUAGUCGCUGAUAGUCCAAAGGCAGCGGCGGCACCGCGUCCGGUCCUCGAGCGUAUGGGGCUUUGUCACCUGCUCUGUAGGCCCGGCCGGCGCCAGCCGACACCCAACUUUAUUUUUCUAAGGUUGACCUCGGAUCAGGUAGGGAUACCCGCUGAACUUAAGCAUAUCAAUAAGCGGAGGA
rnacentral:rRNA from 1 species